UCCUCCCUCCUCUCUUCUCACAAUGGCACAAGGUCUUCUCUUCCUUUCCUGAUUAAACUCUUGCGCCGUACCAAACCUCUGUUCUCCGCGCUAUUACCAGCAAAUUCUCUUCGCCUCUCGCGAAACUCAAUGGUGCAUCUCCAUCUUCUCUUCCCCUUCAAAACCCAGCGCGACGGCGCUAUCUCUCCCGAAUCGUUCUCAAUAUGUCCGUCAUACCUCCGUCUCAUUAUCUUCGUCUUCAUUUUUCAUUCAUUCCUCCAUCAUAGACAAACAUUACGACACCGUACGCCGCUUCUAGAGGCGAUAACUCAGGAAAGCAGUUGA